rnacentral:rRNA from 1 species
CCGCGUGAGUGAAGAAGGCCUUCGGGUUGUAAAAGCUCUUUUCAAGUUGGAAAAGAAAAAGCCGUGACUAAUAAUCAUGGUUCAUGACGGUAUCAACAGAAGAAGCACCGGCUAACUACGUGCCAGCAGCCGCGGUAAUACGUAGGGUGCAAGCGUUAAUCGGAAUUACUGGGCGUAAAGGGUGCGCAGGCGGUUCUGUAAGUCAGAUGUGAAAUCCCCCGGGCUUAACCUGGGAACUGCGUUUGAAACUGCAGAGCUAGAGUGCGGCAGAGGGAGGUGGAAUUCCAUGUGUAGCAGUGAAAUGCGUAGAGAUAUGGAAGAACAUCGAUGGCGAAGGCAACCUCCUGGGCUAGCACUGACGCUCAUGCACGAAAGCGUGGGGAGCAAACAGGAUUAGAUACCCUGGUAGUCCACGCCCUAAACUAUGUCAACUAGUUGUCGGGCCUUAAUAGGCUUGGUAACGUAGCUAACGCGUGAAGUUGACCGCCUGGGGAGUACGGUCGCAAGAUUAAAACUCAAAGGAAUUGACGGGGU